UACGGAGGAUCCAAGCGUUAUCCGGAUUUAUUGGGUUUAAAGGGUGCGUAGGCGGAUUGAUAAGUUAGAGGUGAAAUGUCCGAGCUCAACUCGGGAACUGCCUCUAAUACUGUUGAUCUAGAGAGUAGAUGCGGUAGGCGGAAUGUAUGGUGUAGCGGUGAAAUGCUUAGAGAUCAUACUGAACACCGAUUGCGAAGGCAGCUUACCAAUCUAUAUCUGACGUUGAGGCACGAAAGCGUGGGGAGCAAACAGG
rnacentral:rRNA from 1 species